rnacentral:rRNA from 1 species
UACAGAGGGUGCAAGCGUUAAUCGGAAUUACUGGGCGUAAAGCGCACGUAGGUGGCUGGGUAAGUUGGAUGUGAAAUCCCCGGGCUUAACUUGGGAAUUGCAUUCAAGACUGCCUUGCUAGAGUGUGGAAGAGGGAAGCGGAAUUCCAGGUGUAGCGGUGAAAUGCGUAGAUAUCAGGAGGAACACCGGUGGUGUAGACGGCUCUCUGGACCGUAACUGACGCUGAGGCACGAAAGCGUGGGUAGCAAACAGG